rnacentral:lncRNA from 1 species
UCGGCGUGCUCUUGCUUUGCUGUGCAAUUAGGAACAUAUAUAAGAUGCGCAAAUUGCUGAAUAAAGUUGGAAUUGAAUCUGCAUUCUGUGACUGCGUUUGAUUCUUUCCCUCUACUCCCGCGGACUGCGACAUCUGGUGACCCCAACGUGAUACAACAAAGGAGAAGCCAGCCUUGCUGAGAGUCCGAGUAACAGGAGUAGGAACCGCCCGGCAGGCUUGUCCCCGGGAGAAGAAAGUGAGCCUGGCCGUCCGAAGAAAGACGGGAGGAAAAGAGGAAAAGUCGUAUACGCAUCUCAUCUGACGGGUGAGUCAGGCGCCCUUGUGAGGCGGCGGGUGGCAUGGGGAGCGCUGUAUCAGCGGUGGAAAAGGCCACGAUAGAGAAACUGUUACAAGUGGCGGCAAAAACAGAGCGGAAGGUGGAGCGCCAGGCGCUGGUGGACUUGCUGUGGUGGGGAAGGCGGCGCGGUUUGUUACGGGAGUCCAGCCAGGUCUUUAGCGUGGAAGCCUGGAAAGAGGUUGGGAAGGAACUGUGGGAAUCUAUCCAAAAUGGAGGGAAGGAGGCCAGGCACCUGGCCAAAACGUAUCGAGAGGUACGGCUCAUGAUCGAGCAGCUGCACGGGGAGGCACAGACAGUCGCCGCAAUACGGAGGGCGCUACAUGAGGAACCCCCGGCGGCGGCACCCUCGCCGGGGAAUGAGGAGGAGGAGGGGGCCUACGCCGUGCCCGCCUCUGAAGCACCAUCCUCGGAGGAGUUCGCGCUGAUAGAUGAACCCUCCCUGCCAUUCGCGGCGCCUCUCUAUAAGAUAGAACAGGAGGCUUGGGGGACUGGCACAGGGUAUGAGGACUUGCCACCGUAUGAGAAGGGGGAUGUUGCUGACGCUUUAGCCGCCCCCCCAGAGCCAUCCGCUCCGCCUAUGGAAGUGGACCCGGCCUCCGUGCCAUUACCCGCGGAGGAAAACAUUGAUCUGGCUGGAUAUUCAAAGAAAAUGGAGGAACUGUUGGAGGAAAUGAGGAGGCUGGAUAGGGGGUCGAAAAGGGCACAUGUGAAGGAGGCAUACAAGAAGGCACAUCAGGCCAUUGUGGACGGCCUGAAGGCAGCUGAGGAGCGGUUCUCCGGGGCUCCUGCCGGCGGGCUCCAGGAGAGCAAAGAGGCCGCCCCCAGAGACUGGGUAAUCUCCAACGUGCUCAACGGGACGUGGUCCCUUGAGCAGGCGGAGCAGCACCUGCAAGCCUGGAAAAAACCCCCUCUAACACGAAAAGAAUAUCAAGAGAUCUUGGACCGUUCAUCGAAGGCGCCGGAAAAGGCCCCACCACCUAGGGACCCCGAUUUCGACAUGGCGAAAAGGUGUCGAGGGAUCAUUCAGAACGCCGAACUGGUUGGGGACAUGCAGUUUUUCCCUAUUGCAGCCCUGGUGGUGACCAUGGGUCAAGGUCAGUCGAAGUGGGAACCUCUGGACUGGCAUGUGGUACCGGGCGAUAUUCGCGCCCUUGCCGAACUGAUUCUGGGGCCCACAUCCUUACUGGUGUUUUUGAAUAAAUGGCAGGAACUGCUUGAGCAAUGCCAAGUAUCCAACUUGGACUUACCGGCAGACGACCCAUUGCGUGCAGCAUCUAUGGACAUGCUGAUGGGCAGCGGGGCCUUUAGGGACCCCGCUCGACAGGCAGCACUGCAUCCCCGAGUUUUAAUGCAGUCAAAAAACGCUGCNNNNNNNNNNNNNNNNNNNNNNNNNNNNNNNNNNNNNNNNNNNNNNNNNN